GAUGAACGCUGGCGGCGUGCCUAACACAUGCAAGUCGAGCGGCAGCGAGGGGUGCUUGCACCCUGUCGGCGAGCGGCGGACGGCUGAGUAACGCGUGGGAACGUGCCCCAAAGUGAGGAAUAACUGCCCGAAAGGGUAGCUAAUACCGCAUAUUAUCUUCGGAUCAAAGGAUUUAUCCGCUUUGGGAGCGGCUCGCGUCGGAUUAGGUAGUUGGUGAGGUAAUGGCUCACCAAGCCGACGAUCCGUAGCUGGUCUGAGAGGAUGACCAGCCAGACUGGAACUGAGACACGGUCCAGACUCCUACGGGAGGCAGCAGUGAGGAAUUUUCCACAAUGGGCGAAAGCCUGAUGGAGCAACGCCGCGUGCAGGACGAAGGCCUUCGGGUUGUAAACUGCUUUUAUAAGUGAGGAAUAUGACGGUAACUUAUGAAUAAGGAUCGGCUAACUACGUG
rnacentral:rRNA from 1 species